rnacentral:rRNA from 1 species
UACGUAGGGAGCAAGCGUUGUCCGGAAUCAUUGGGCGUAAAGCGCGCGUAGGCGGCCUCGUAAGUCCGUUGUGAAAGUCAAAGGCUCAACCUUUGAAAGCCGAUGGAUACUGUGAGGCUAGAGUCCGGAAGAGGCGAGUGGAAUUCCGUGGUGUAGCGGUGGAAUGCGCAGAUAUCAGGAGGAACACCGAUAGCGAAGGCAGCUCGCUGGGACGGUACUGACGCUGAGGCGCGAAAGCGUGGGGAGCGAACAGG